ensembl:misc_RNA Metazoa_SRP Metazoan signal recognition particle RNA
GCCAGGCAUGGUGACUCAUGCCUGUGAUCCCAGCACUUUGGGAGGCUGAGGUGGGUGGAUCACCUGAGGUCAGGGAUUCUGAUCAGCCUGACCAACAUGGCGAAAUCCCGUCUCUA